AGUGAACGCUGGCGGUAGGCCUAACACAUGCAAGUCGAACGGCAGCACAGUAAGAGCUUGCUCUUACGGGUGGCGAGUGGCGGACGGGUGAGGAAUACAUCGGAAUCUACUUUUUCGUGGGGGAUAACGUAGGGAAACUUACGCUAGUACCGCAUACGACCUACGGGUGAAAGCAGUGGAUCUUCGGACCUUGCGCGAUUGAAUGAGCCGAUGUCGGAUUAGCUAGUUGGCGGGGUAAAGGCCCACCAAGGCGACGAUCCGUAGCUGGUCUGAGAGGAUGAUCGGCCACACUGGAACUGGGACACGGUCCAGACUCCUACGGGAGGCAGCAGUGGGGAAUAUUGGACAAUGGGCGCAAGCCUGAUCCAGCCAUACCGCGUGGGUGAAGAAGGCCUUCGGGUUGUAAAGCCCUUUUGUUGGGAAAGAAAAGCAGCAGGUUAAUACCCCGCUGUUCUGACGGUACCCAAAGAAUAAGCACCGGCUAACUUCGUG
rnacentral:rRNA from 1 species